UUCCCCUUGCUUUCUCCACUCCCAGAGGCUGCUCCAAGGACACAGCCUUGAGAUAAUGAUGUGAGGAUGAGACCAUCUGGAUGGUAUGCGUGAUUGAACCCAGUAAGGCUUUCAUAUAAACUUUUCAGAUUUGGCAAGUGGGUAGAGAGAUCUAAUCAUUUCAUCACUGCCCAAGGUCUCAAGCCUGGUGGCCUUCACACUGGAACUAUAUACCCAUCAGCUCUCCUGGAGCCUUCUGCUUGAUGACUGUAGAUCUUGGGGCUUGUCAGCCUCCAUAAUCAUGGAGCAAUUCCACUGUUCAAGUCAAUUAGCCCACCAAAGCUAUUACACCAAAGAAGCUGGAAUGUUAUUCAGACUUCCCUGGGAGUAUUUAGAGUAUAAAAUAAAUGCUAUUAUUCAGAAGAUACCAAAUUGCUAAGCUUCUUAAAUUCAUACAAUUGGGAACCUGCAGUACAUUAAAAUACUGAAACUCAUUAAGAGUCUUUUCUUCCCAGCUUUAGAGUCAUUGGCAUUCUCAGCACAGUUAAGAACAAUAAAAAGCUCCUGGCUUCCUAGAAAAGAGUGGCUUGCGCUCCUCCAGCUCCACUUCAAUGAAUCACUGAGGCAGAACUGGUGCCCAGCCUUCGAGACAACAGCAGCUCCUGCUGGAUUACCCUAAUACUUGAAUAGGACUGGAAAAUGAGCUAACAUGCUACAUUAAGAGGAGAGAAAAGGGCAGCUAGCUUAUAGCCAUCAUUUACCUUCGUUAGCGCUCUAUUCAAAGCAUUUGAGCAUAAAUAUACAAAAUGUUAGUAAUGAUUUAACUCAUAAAAUAAGAAUCGAUGAGUCUCUGCUUAUAUAAGUGAAUGACUAAUGAGGGAUCCUUUAAGUAGAAUGGAAACUAAUAAAUGUAGAAGGGAUGUUGGAAUUGCAAAAUCACCACUCGGCAGUCAUAGUAAUAAUAAUUGACUGAUCUAAGAAUGAUCAACGAUCAGUGUAUGGCAAAAGAUGUGAGUGAAAGUUUGAUGAGAAAGAAGAAAUGGACAUAAUCUCAGAGAAUUUCCCCCUAAUCUCAAAGACUCCCCCCACCAAAUAUUUAUUAAUUACAAGGGGAAAAUAGUAACUUUUCCAUGGAGGUACUUAGUAGCCAUUACUUUAAAUGAUCAAAGUAGCAUCACCAAAAUGGGAGAAGUGAACACCACGUGCCUCCUCAUAUGAUGCACUAGAAGGCAUUCACUGCGGCAUUCAUUCCACCAAUGCAUGCCCGGACUCUACCCAUUGGAAAAUAUCAGAGAGGCCCAAGUUGAGGGACAUUCUAUACAAUAACUGGUCUGCAAUCUUCAAAAUGUCAAGACGAAGACAGACUAAGGAACUAUUCUACAUUAAAGACACUAAAGAGACACAGUAUGUAAAUGUAACAAUUGAUCCUGGAUCCCACCCCUGUAAAAUGUGUGUUUACUAUAAAGGACAUUAGUGAGAAUUGACUAAUGUCUAUUGAUUAGACUUUUUUAGUGUAUCAAUGUUAAUUUCCUGAUUUUGAUCAUUUUACUCUGUAAGAGUGCCCUUGUUAUUAGAAAAUACAGUUAAAGUAUUCAUGCAUAAUGGGGCAUGAUGUCUGUAAUUACU